ensembl:lncRNA
GAAACCAUUCCCCAUGGAGGACUCCUUCCCAAGAUGGCUCUUGGCCAGCUCUCUUCUGUUCUCUCGGAGGCAUUCACAUUGCUGCUCAUUCCAAGGUGUAAGAACAGAAAGACCCCAGAAAGGAUUUUGCCUGCUGGACCAGGCCUACAUGUUCCAGUGUCCUUCUCUUCUCACUGUGCAACAACAAAAUACGUUUAAAAGCUGGUUUCCAAAGUCGAUUUUUACCAGGAUCUUAGAGCUGCCCCGCAAUGAAGAACAAUUGCAUUUUAUUGCCCCUCCUAUUAGUAAAAGGGUCAUUGGCUGAUCUUGACUCAAUCAAAUGAAAAAUUGUGCCAGGUACUGAUUGAUUUUUUCUCAGCCACAAACCAUCUUUGCUUUGUGAUGCUGGGGCUGGAAGUCUGCAGACCACAUUUCUGCUGUGCUAGCUGCUCCCUGCUGGGAUCCGCCCAUCAGGGGGAGCAGUGAGAGGCUGCAGGAGGAAGAAGGAGGCUUCUUCUUGUCUCGCCUAGGAGUUCCUGUGAGCAUCACCCAGGUGACACUUCGUUCAGAAGCAGUGCCUUCCUGUGGCAGCAGCUGAAUCCAGUUUCCCAAGACUUGCUGUGUCCCAGGGCAUGAAGAAGCAGCUUCCUCAGAGAUCCCACCACCAGCUGAGCACAAGUGCCCCUUCCUCAGGUGUCUGACUUUUAGCUCCGUGGGGCCCCUUCUCUAGGCUCCUACAUUUUAAUAAUCAACUCCUUUCCUUUGCUCCACCAGCCCUAGGGGUGGUGGCUCUUCCUACAGUCACUGCCUCUGUGAAAGUGUUUUGCUUUCUUAGGUUACCUAGUAUUAUGUUCUGAGUUGUGUCCCCUCGAAAGAUGUUGAGUUUCUAACCCCUACUACUUGUGAAUGUGGCCUUAUUUGGAAAUGGGGUCUGUCAAAAACCGAACUCGGCACAAUGAUUAAAACAAAGCAGAAAGGUGAGUUUAUUGCAAGGAUUUCAAUGUGCAGGCCAAGAAACUCUAGGCUCCAGGAGCGAUGAGUUUCAAGUUGCUCACAGAUUAAGGGGUUUUUUUUAAUGGAAGUUAGAGGCUUUUUUUUGCAACCAUAACAAGUGGCUUUUUCCCCUGUUUGGGUCAGGGUAGCUGAGUCAGGGGAACAAGAAAGUCCAGAGAUGACCUGAAUAGACUUGGUGUUUGGGGAUUUGCUGGCACCCUCUACUAAUUUCUGAGAAGAACUGUACAUUCCUACAACUUCUGUUAGGUAAGGUUACGUUUCAUUUUCUUUAAUUCACCUGCAUUGGCUGAUUUCGUUUUUUCCCUGACACAGAGACUCCAUUUUAGAUUUGUUUCUACAGGUCUUCACACAUGGUCAAGUUAAGAGGAGAUCAUUAGCGUGGGCCCUGAUGCAAUAUGACUGUGUCCGUAUAAUAAGGGGGAAUGUGGACACAGAAACAGACAUGCACACAGAGAGAACACCAUGUGAACAGGCAGAGAUCAGGGUGAUGUAUCAGCACACGAAGGAGUGCCAAAGAUUGCCAGAAAACUACCAGAAACUAGGAUUCUCCUUCACGAAUUCUCCUUUGCAGCCCUCAGGAGGAAAAACCCUCCUGACACUUUAAUCUCAAACCUCUAGCCUCUGGAACGAGGAGACGAUACAUUUAUGGUGCUCAAGCCAUCCGGCCUGUGGUAUUUUCUUACGACAGCUCCAGGAAACGAAGAUAGCUAGUUAAUAUUUUUUCCCCAAUUAAUGAUUUUUUUGGAUGAAAUUCUCUCUGUUAAAAUAACUGGCAUGACUUAUCUCUCCUGACCAGGUUCUGAAUGAUGUGACAAGUACAGAGAAAUAUAGAAUCUGCUUUUAUUGUGGUAACUUUCAAGGUCAUUGUCCUCACAUCGCUGCUGUGUGAUCAUUACUUAGCUUUAGCAGGUGUAUUAGCUUGCUAGGGCUGCCAUAGGUAGUACCACAGACAGGAGUGGAAUAAUGGAAAUGUAUUUUCCCACAGUUCUGAAGGCUAAAAGUCUGAGAUCAAAAUAUCAGCAAGGUUGGUUUCUUCUGAGGUCUCUCUCCUUGGCUGGUAGAUGGCCAUCUUCCCCCUGGGUCCUCACAUGGUCUUUCCUCUGUGCGUAUCUCUCCUAAUCUCCUCUUCCUAAAAGGACACCAGUCAUAUUGGAUUAGGGCCCACCCAUAUGACCUCAUUUUAACUUAAUCACCUCUUUAAAGAUGCUGUCUCCAAAUGCAGUAAAACCUUGCUUUAGGAGCAUAACUCAUUCCAGAAAUAUGCUUGGAAUCCAAAGCACCCAUAUAUCAAAGCGUAUUUCAAGAACCAUUGGCUCAGUUGUGAUCACAUGACAUUCGGCAACUUCUCGUGUUGCAAGACAUCACUCAUUUAUCAAGUUAAAAUUUAUUAGAAAUGUUUGCUCGUCUUGCAGAAUACUCGCAGAACAAGUUACUCACAAUCCAAGGUUUUACCUGUACAGCCAUAUACUGAGAUCCUGGUGGUUAGGAUUUUCCCCUAUGAAUUUUGGGGAAGACACAAUUAAACCCAUAACAGAAAGAAUUUUUGAUCAAGAAAAGGUUUGUGACUCCGGGGUAGCAUUUUCUCCUUUUGACAGCUCUGAGGAAGGCUGCAUGGUGGACCUCCAGAGACAUCUCUUGUAGAAGCUCACAAAUCAUCCUUUCAAUAAUUUAGUUCAGGAUAUUGCUCAAGGUCAAACUCAAGCUCCCUGGUGUGUGGAACGUCCUUUCCCUCUCCGCUUGAAAAAUCAAAACUCUCUUUUCCAAAUUUUGGUAUCUCUCCCAGUCUCCAACACUGCUCAGAGUCCCAGAAAAUAGACUGGAAGCCAGUCCACAGGCUCUGCUGUGACUGGUGAGUAAGUUAAGCAAGGUUUGCUUAACAGGUGCAUCCGGAUCACGUGUUAAUCCAUCUCCCUCUGUAUGAGCUUCUCUCAGCACAGAUGUUAGUUUGGCCUCAUCUUUACUAUUUAUUUUAUUUAUCUAUGGUCUAGGGGAGAAGACGGAUGCUAUUUCAAUUUACUGAAAAUUGUCCUACCGGCCAUGACAUAUUGGUCAUAAUUUACAUGAAUGUUUCAUGAACAAUCAACACAUAUGUAAUUAAAUACAAAGUUUGCUGAGAACUUGGAUUUACAAAACCAAGCCUACCAAAUCAGGUUAUUAAAACAGUUCGAUAGAACUAACAACAGUUUUAAGUGGAGAUAUGAGUUUUUGUCAUCCUUCAAGUCAUGAAGGCUCUAAGUACACUCAGAUGUCCUCAUCGAAGCUUUUCCAUGCAGUGUAAGUCUGGAUUAAAUCCCUUCUUGUCCAGUUCCUCUAUUGCAUUUUAUCCCUCUAGUGUGGCACUAGCCAAAAUCUGCCCUGUCAUACCAUGUUUCUGUGGUGCAUUCACGGGAGAUCAGAGGCCACGGGUUAUUGCAAUUAUAUGCUGCCGGUUCCUCAAUAUGUGCCUUGUGUAGAGUUGCACUCAAGAAACGCAUACGAAAGUCUUUUUUAAAAUGUUUAUUUUUGAGAGAGGGAGCAUGGGUAGGGGAGAGGUGGAGAGAGUGCGGGACAGAGGAUCCAAAGCUGGCUCCGUGCUGACAGUGGCAAACCCAAUUUGGGGCUCAAAUUCAUGAACUCUGAGAUCAUGACCUGAGCUGACGUCCCACGCUCAACCUUCUGAGCCACCCACAUGCCUCAUAGGAGACUCUUAAAUACAGAGAACAAACUGAGGGUUGCUGGAGGGGUGCUGGGUGGGGAAUGGGCUAAAUGGGUGAUGGGCAUUAAGGAGGGCACUUGUUGGGAUGAGCACUGAUUGUUAUAUGUAAGUGAUGAAUCACUAAGUUCUCCUGAAACCAUUAUUACACUAUAUGUUAACUAACUUGGAUUUAAACUUUAAAAAGGGGCACCUGGAUGUCUCAGUCAGCUGAGCAUUAGACUUCAACUCAGGUCAUGAUCAUGGUUCAUGAGUUGGAGACUUUGGGCUCGCUGCUGUCAGCCUAGAACCUUCUUUGAUCCUCGGUGCCCCUCCCUCACUCUCACUCUCUCAAAAAUAAACAUUUAAAUAAAUAAAUAAAUAAAUAAAUA